UACGAAGGGGGCUAGCGUUGCUCGGAAUCACUGGGCGUAAAGCGCACGUAGGCGGGUCCUUAAGUCGGGGGUGAAAUCCUGGAGCUCAACUCCAGAACUGCCUUCGAUACUGGGGAUCUCGAGUCCGGGAGAGGUGAGUGGAACUCCGAGUGUAGAGGUGAAAUUCGUAGAUAUUCGGAAGAACACCAGUGGCGAAGGCGGCCCACUGGCUCGACACUGACGCUGAGGUGCGAAAGCGUGGGGAGCAAACAGG
rnacentral:rRNA from 1 species